rnacentral:rRNA from 1 species
AGACGUCUACAUUAGAUACCCCCGUAGUCCCAGCCGUAAACUAUGCGCGUUAGGUGUAUCGGUGACCACGAGUUACCGAGGUGCCGAAGGGAAACCGUGAAACGUGCCGCCUGGGAAGUACGGUCGCAAGGCUGAAACUUAAAGGAAUUGGCGGGGGAGCACCACAACAGGUGGAGCCUGCGGUUUAAUUGGACUCAACGCCGGGAGGCUCACCGGAUAGGACAGCAGAAUGAUUGCCGGGCUGAAGACCCUGCAUGACUAGCUG